rnacentral:rRNA from 1 species
GAUGAACGCUGGCGGCGUGCCUAAUACAUGCAAGUCGAACGAAGAGGGGACGGGUGAGAGACACGUGGAUAACCUCCUAUAAGACUGGGGUAACUUACGGGAAACGGAGCCAAACCGGCAACUUAGAGCUGGAGCCGCGCUGCAUUAGCUAGUGUGUAAGGUAACCGCGUACCAAGGCAACGAUGCAUAGCCGACCUGAGAGGGUGACCGGCCACACUGGAACUGAGACACGGUCCAGACUCCUACGUGAGGCAGCAGUAGGGAAUCUUCCGCAAUGGGCGCAAGCCUGAUGGAGCCACGCCGCGUGAGUGAAGAAGGCCUUCGGGUCGUAAAACUCUUUUAUAAGGGAAGCGGUACCUAAUCAGGAAGCCACGGCUAACUCCGUGCCAGCAGCCGCGGUAAUUC